rnacentral:rRNA from 1 species
GAGGUUAAGCGACUAAGCGUACACGGUGGAUGCCCUGGCAGUCAGAGGCGAUGAAGGACGUGCUAAUCUGCGAUAAGCGCCGGUAAGGUGAUAUGAACCGUUAUAACCGGCGAUUUCCGAAUGGGGAAACCCAGUGUGACUCGUCACACUAUCAUUAACUGAAUCCAUAGGUUAAUGAGGCGAACCGGGGGAACUGAAACAUCUAAGUACCCCGAGGAAAAGAAAUCAACCGAGAUUCCCCCAGUAGCGGCGAGCGAACGGGGAGGAGCCCAGAGCCUGAAUCAGCAUGUGUGUUAGUGGAAGCGUCUGGAAAGGCGCGCGAUACAGGGUGACAGCCCCGUACACAAAAGCGCAUGUGCUGUGAGCUCGAUGAGUAGGGCGGGACACGUGGUAUCCUGUCUGAAUAUGGGGGGACCAUCCUCCAAGGCUAAAUACUCCUGACUGACCGAUAGUGAACCAGUACCGUGAGGGAAAGGCGAAAAGAACCCCGGCGAGGGGAGUGAAAAAGAACCUGAAACCGUGUACGUACAAGCAGUGGGAGCACCCUUUGGGGUGUGACUGCGUACCUUUUGUAUAAUGGGUCAGCGACUUAUAUUCUGUAGCAAGGUUAACCGAAUAGGGGAGCCGGAGGGAAACCGAGUCUUAAUUGGGCGUUAAGUUGCAGGGUAUAGACCCGAAACCCGGUGAUCUAGCCAUGGGCAGGUUGAAGGUUGGGUAACACUAACUGGAGGACCGAACCGACUAAUGUUGAAAAAUUAGCGGAUGACCUGUGGCUGGGGGUGAAAGGCCAAUCAAACCGGGAGAUAGCUGGUUCUCCCCGAAAGCUAUUUAGGUAGCGCCUCGUGAAUUCAUCUCCGGGGGUAGAGCACUGUUUCGGCUAGGGGGCCAUCCCGGCUUACCAACCCGAUGCAAACUGCGAAUACCGGAGAAUGUUAUCACGGGAGACACACGGCGGGUGCUAACGUCCGUCGUGAAGAGGGAAACAACCCAGACCGCCAGCUAAGGUCCCAAAGUCAUGGUUAAGUGGGAAACGAUGUGGGAAGGCCCAGACAGCCAGGAUGUUGGCUUAGAAGCAGCCAUCAUUUAAAGAAAGCGUAAUAGCUCACUGGUCGAGUCGGCCUGCGCGGAAGAUGUAACGGGGCUAAACCAUGCACCGAAGCUGCGGCAGCGACGCUGAUGCGUUGUUGGGUAGGGGAGCGUUCUGUAAGCCUGUGAAGGUGGCCUGUGAGGGUUGCUGGAGGUAUCAGAAGUGCGAAUGCUGACAUAAGUAACGAUAAAGCGGGUGAAAAGCCCGCUCGCCGGAAGACCAAGGGUUCCUGUCCAACGUUAAUCGGGGCAGGGUGAGUCGACCCCUAAGGCGAGGCCGAAAGGCGUAGUCGAUGGGAAACGGGUUAAUAUUCCCGUACUUGGUGUUACUGCGAAGGGGGGACGGAGAAGGCUAUGUUGGCCGGGCGACGGUUGUCCCGGUUUAAGCGUGUAGGUGUGUGUUCCAGGUAAAUCCGGUUCACUUUAACACUGAGGCGUGAUGACGAGGCACUACGGUGCUGAAGCAACAAAUGCCCUGCUUCCAGGAAAAGCCUCUAAGCAUCAGGUAACAUCAAAUCGUACCCCAAACCGACACAGGUGGUCAGGUAGAGAAUACCAAGGCGCUUGAGAGAACUCGGGUGAAGGAACUAGGCAAAAUGGUGCCGUAACUUCGGGAGAAGGCACGCUGACACGUAGGUGAAGUGAUUUACUCAUGGAGCUGAAGUCAGUCGAAGAUACCAGCUGGCUGCAACUGUUUAUUAAAAACACAGCACUGUGCAAACACGAAAGUGGACGUAUACGGUGUGACGCCUGCCCGGUGCCGGAAGGUUAAUUGAUGGGGUCAGCGCAAGCGAAGCUCCUGAUCGAAGCCCCGGUAAACGGCGGCCGUAACUAUAACGGUCCUAAGGUAGCGAAAUUCCUUGUCGGGUAAGUUCCGACCUGCACGAAUGGCGUAAUGAUGGCCAGGCUGUCUCCACCCGAGACUCAGUGAAAUUGAACUCGCUGUGAAGAUGCAGUGUACCCGCGGCAAGACGGAAAGACCCCGUGAACCUUUACUAUAGCUUGACACUGAACAUUGAGCCUUGAUGUGUAGGAUAGGUGGGAGGCUUUGAAGUGUGGACGCCAGUCUGCAUGGAGCCGGCCUUGAAAUACCACCCUUUAAUGUUUGAUGUUCUAACGUGGACCCGUGAUCCGGGUUGCGGACAGUGUCUGGUGGGUAGUUUGACUGGGGCGGUCUCCUCCUAAAGAGUAACGGAGGAGCACGAAGGUUGGCUAAUCCUGGUCGGACAUCAGGAGGUUAGUGCAAUGGCAUAAGCCAGCUUGACUGCGAGCGUGACGGCGCGAGCAGGUGCGAAAGCAGGUCAUAGUGAUCCGGUGGUUCUGAAUGGAAGGGCCAUCGCUCAACGGAUAAAAGGUACUCCGGGGAUAACAGGCUGAUACCGCCCAAGAGUUCAUAUCGACGGCGGUGUUUGGCACCUCGAUGUCGGCUCAUCACAUCCUGGGGCUGAAGUAGGUCCCAAGGGUAUGGCUGUUCGCCAUUUAAAGUGGUACGCGAGCUGGGUUUAGAACGUCGUGAGACAGUUCGGUCCCUAUCUGCCGUGGGCGCUGGAGAACUGAGGGGGGCUGCUCCUAGUACGAGAGGACCGGAGUGGACGCAUCACUGGUGUUCGGGUUGUCAUGCCAAUGGCACUGCCCGGUAGCUAAAUGCGGAAGAGAUAAGUGCUGAAAGCAUCUAAGCACGAAACUUGCCCCGAGAUGAGUUCUCCCUGAGACUUAGAGUCUCCUGAAGGAACGUUGAAGACGACGACGUUGAUAGGCCGGGUGUGUAAGCGCAGCGAUGCGUUGAGCUAACCGGUACUAAUGAACCGUGAGGCUUAACCUUACA